GUGUCAGCCGCCGCCGGUAAUACGUAGGGGGCAAGCGUUGUCCGGAAUUAUUGGGCGUAAAGCGCGCGCAGGUGGUUUCUUAAGUCUGAUGUGAAAGCCCACGGCUCAACCGUGGAGGGUCAUUGGAAACUGGGAGACUUGAGUGCAGAAGAGGAAAGUGGAAUUCCAAGUGUAGCGGUGAAAUGCGUAGAGAUUUGGAGGAACACCAGUGGCGAAGGCGACUUUCUGGUCUGUAACUGACGCUGAGGCGCGAAAGCAUGGGGAGCAAACAGGAUUAGAUACCCGCGUAGUCC
rnacentral:rRNA from 1 species